rnacentral:rRNA from 1 species
GUUUGAUUAUGGCUCAGGAUGAACGCUAGCGGCAGGCUAACACAUGCAAGUCGAGGGGCAACGCGAGUAGCAAUACUUGGCGGCGACCGGCGCAAGGGUGCGUAACGCGUGAGCAACAUGCCCGUAUCAGGGGGAUAAUCCAGGGAAACUUGGUCUAAUACCCCAUAGUAAUUUUGUAAGGCAUCUUAUAAGAUUUAAAGCUUUGGUGGAUACGGAUUGGCUCGCGUGACAUUAGCUGGAUGGUAAGGUAACGGCUUACCAUGGCUAUGAUGUCUAGGGGUUCUGAGAGGAAGGUCCCCCACACUGGAACUGAGACACGGUCCAGACUCCUACGGGAGGCAGCAGUGAGGAAUAUUGGACAAUGGAUGGAAAUCUGAUCCAGCCAUGCCCGCGUGAAGGAUGACUGCCCUAUGGGUUGUAAACUUCUUUUAUAAGGGAAUAAAGUGAGGGACGUGUCCCUUUUUGUAUGUACCUUAUGAAUAAGGAUCGGCUAACUCCGUGCCAGCCGCCGC